rnacentral:lncRNA from 1 species
AUGACCCACAUACAUAGCAAUCAGAAACAAUUGCACGGCACAGAAGGGCCACAGACCCGUCUGGAGGUGAAUUUCACAAAUCUGGGGGCUGAGUGGUGUUUCCGUGGGACAGAUCCAGUUUGUGCUGGGGGAUCAAGCCGGCCCUUAGGAAGUACUGAGCACAAAGGUUGCACAGUCGCUCAGUUCCUUUCCUCGCGUCUGGGACCUGCGUCUGGGACCUGAGCCAAGCACAGGCGAGCCCUGAGGAUGCGUGCCGCCUCCCUCCCUCCUCCCCACAGCAGCUGUGUGCUCCAGCACCCAAAUAAAUCUUAAUCACUCCAUGGUGGCUCUUUUGUUCAACUGUUUUUAAAUGUGGAGACCCAGUUGUGCAAUCAAGUUAACACGGGACCCAGAGCUUGAAUCUGCAUUGUUGUCGACUUUGUGCAGUAAUUAAAUGGGCAUGCCAAACGGCAGUCAAACAGCACUAAAGCCUGACCGCCGUUUUGUCUGGCUUUUGUGUAUGGCCAAGUGAUUCUACAAGAGGCAAAACAGAAUAUAAUCCAGCCUCUGAAGAGGGCAGUUAUUUUGCAGCAGGAAUAGAUUAUUUGCUACAGCACAAGCUGCAGGUUUUGUCGUAUUGUUGUCAUUUCCAUCCUAGCUACAAUUAAUUAAAAUUCACUUUGUGCACCUAAAAAGUAGAGGCACACACUCAGACAUGUGCAUGAUUGUACCCAGCCAUAACAAACAACAUUAUGUGUAGCGUUGUGAUGAGUGGAAAAUGGUAUUUUAAACAAUCCUUUCAGUGAAACAGCAACAACAAAAAAAAUUGCAAAAAUAUUCACAACAUUUUGCCCUGUUUUCAACAAAUUCACAAUAAAGUUAUUUGUUCUGGAUAAAGGGGGAAAUGGAACAUCACAGAUCAAUAAUAAAAACAAAACAAAACAAAACAUUAUUAUGAAUAUUUGUUUUGCAUGGAUCCUGCUUCAAAGUUGGAUGACAUUUUCAAUACACUGAUGGAACAGCACAAGAAUACAAUUUUCCAUGUCAGAGAUUCUAUACAUCCGAUGGGUUUGCCUGGAGUCUGGAGUACAGCCAUUCCUAAAAGUCAGCAGAAAAUAUUGAAUCCUGGGACUGGAACCUGUUUUCCUCAAAGAAGCAGCUUCACAGCCAUGGUAAUAGUCUGAAAGUAACAGUCUACUAAAUUCAGCAGGACACAAUUUGCAGAAUAGUAAUCUCCAGUACCAGGAUAGCCUGAAUGGUAAUGGAAACAAAGAGAUUAUCAAGAUGUAUCAAUUACAUUUUACAGUGAAAUGUUCCAGUUUCACUUAACUACCAGGUGGCUUGUUGAGUGCUCUGUACAGGAUACAAGAAAUUUCUAUCAUACAGUGAAGGCCUAUUGCAUAACAAUUUAAUCUUAAUUUGAUGGGCUUUGCCACAAUUACAUGAGCUUAAGAAACCUGUGAAGCUUUAAGGUCACAAUCUGAGACUGGAAGAUGCCUCAGCCAAGGGAGAAAUUUCUAUCUAACUUUAAGAAAAUAGAAGUUUCCCUUUGUUUUUUACAGACUGAGCAACUCAUUGCUAGCAUACAGUGUCUCACUGACAUUCUACAGCAUAAGGGAUUCUGUUGAAGUUAUGCAAAGAAAACGUACGUAUAUAUAAAGUGUUUAAAUAGUGACAUUCUAAAACUGAGUGGAAGUAGUCAUGU